rnacentral:rRNA from 1 species
AAUAGAUACCCUGGUAGUCCACGCCGUAAACGAUGAGUGCUAAGUGUUAGAGGGUUUCCGCCCUUUAGUGCUGAAGUUAACGCAUUAAGCACUCCGCCUGGGGAGUACGGCCGCAAGGCUGAAACUCAAAGGAAUUGACGGGGGCCCGCACAAGCGGUGGAGCAUGUGGUUUAAUUCGAAGCAACGCGAAGAACCUUACCAGGUCUUGACAUCCUCUGACAACCCUAGAGAUAGGACUUCUCCUUCGGGAGCAGAGUGACAGGUGGUGCAUGGUUGUCGUCAGCUCGUGUCGUGAGAUGUUGGGUUAAGUCCCGCAACGAGCGCAACCCUUGAUCUUAGUUGCCAUCAUUUAGUUGGGCACUCUAAGGUGACUGCCGGUGACAAACCGGAGGAAGGUGGGGAUGACGUCAAAUCAUCAUGCCCCUUAUGACCUGGGCUACACACGUGCUACAAUGGACGGUACAAAGAGCUGCAAGACCGCGAGGUGGAGCUAAUCUCAUAAAACCCGUUCUCAGUUCGGA